GGCUCUUCUCAUGACAUCUAGCUAGAUGGCAUCUGCUUUGUAACAGAAGAUUUGAAUCAGACAACUGUACUCAACACUAGACAGUGUCUAGAUUAUUUCUGCAAAGAAAUGAGGCUUUGCUCUGCAUGGCAUCCACUGAGCUUUUAAAGAUUACAGAUGAGCAAGGGUUUCAAAAAAAAAAAGUUAGAAAAAUCAAAAACAAAGCUUUAUAGCCACUUCAGAAAGCCUGGAUGUUUAACCUGUAAGGAAGUCCGUCAAAUCCUGUGGAAACCAUAGAGAGAAAAGAUCAAUAGGAUACCUACUGGCUCCAUUAGCUUCAUGUAAAAUGGGGAGAGGGAAGCUGCUCUUCGGCAAGAGAAACUACAUUAUUCCAGGGAUUAUGCUGGAUCAGUUCACUUCGCAGAGGAGAAGAGAAAGUGAAUGAAGGUUCUUGGUGGGCCAAGACUCCAGAGAAAGGGCUUGCCAGGUUUCAAUUGGCCAUCUUCCAGACACUCCCUGAUGAGACAGGACUGAUCACAUUCAAGUCAGAACUUGGAAAGCUUACCCACGAGAAGUUGCUCACGAGAGAUUAUUUGACAUUGGCCACAGACUCUUACUGAGCAGCCUUGGCCAUCGUUUAGUACUUCGGGCUUCUUCAACCAUGAAGUAUGAAUCAUCAUGGUUGUUUCCUCAGGUUGUCAAAACAUUUGCCUGACAUGUGAAGAGUGUGCCCAGUAAAAUUGUAAAAUCCAAACCUACUUGUCUAGGUUAGUUUUUAUUGUCAACUUAAUACAACAUAGAGUCACUUGGGAUGAGGAGAGUUCAAUGAGGGAUUGUCUAGAUCAAAUUAUUUGUGGCCUUGUUUGUGAGAGAUUGUCUUGAUUGAAGAUCAGCAUAGGAGGGCCCAGCCCACUGUGGGUGACACCAUUCCUAGGCAGAUGCAGAAGAAAUCUAGCUGAGCAAGCAGAGAGCCAGCUAGUAAGUAGUGUUCCUCUAUGCUUUCUGCAUUAAUUCAUGCCCUGACUUCUCCAGGUGAUGGAUUAUGAUUUGGAAAUCCAAGCUGAAAUAAACCCUUUCCUCUCCAUGUUUUGGUCAUGGCAUUCAUCAUAGCAUUAGAAAGUUGCCUUAUUUUUCUUAACCUAGGGAUCUGCAGUUCCAUCUAUACUGUAAAUUACUACCCUGUAAUUAUAGACUUGGUGAAUGAAUAUUCUGUAUGCACAUAUUUUCUGUAUCAGUUUAUUUGUUGAUGGCCAUCUAGGCUUGUUCCACAAUUCCACAUGGUUAUGAACAUGGCUGUACAGUGUCUCUGUGAUAUUCUUAUUAGAUUACUUCAUUGAUAUGCCCAGGAGUGGUGUAGCUGGGUCAUAUUGUAGUUGGAUUCUUUGUGUUAUAUGUAACCACCACUCUCAUUUCCAUAUACAUGGGUGCUAAUUUCUUUGAGCUACUGUCUUUGAGCCUAUAAAGUACACAAACACAUAGGCAACUUCAAGAAUAGACUUAGGCAAUUUAAACAUAUUAACAAAGUAACUUUGCUUUAUAUAUAAAGCACUGGAACUUAUAAUUUUGUUAAAUGGCUUUACUUCUAUAAAUUUGAUAUUUAAGGACUCCAAGUAGAUGUACACAAAUUUUGUUAUUAGAAGAGCGGUAUAAUGUUGAAGCAAAAAUAAAAUUUAAUAAAUGCAGUGUUUAAAAC